UACGUAGGUGGCAAGCGUUGUCCGGAUUUACUGGGCGUAAAGAGCGCGCAGGCGGUCGUGCAAGUCGCGUGUGAAAGCCCCCGGCUCAACUGGGGAGGGUCACGCGAUACUGUUCGACUUGAAGGCAGGAGAGGGAAGUGGAAUUCCCGGUGUAGUGGUGAAAUACGUAGAGAUUGGGAAGAACACCAGUGGCGAAGGCGGCUAUCUGGACGGUUUCUGACGCUAAGACGCGAAAGCGUGGGGAGCAAACAGG
rnacentral:rRNA from 1 species